UGGGGAAUAUUGGACAAUGGGCGAAAGCCUGAUCCAGCCAUGCCGCGUGUGUGAAGAAGGCCUUUUGGUUGUAAAGCACUUUAAGCGAGGAGGAGGCUACCGAGAUUAAUACUCUUGGAUAGUGGACGUUACUCGCAGAAUAAGCACCGGCUAACUCUGUGCCAGCAGCCGCGGUAAUACAGAGGGUGCGAGCGUUAAUCGGAUUUACUGGGCGUAAAGCGUGCGUAGGCGGCUUUUUAAGUCGGAUGUGAAAUCCCUGAGCUUAACUUAGGAGUUGCAUUCGAUACUGGGAAGCUAGAGUAUGGGAGAGGAUGGUAGAAUUCCAGGUGUAGCGGUGAAAUGCGUAGAGAUCUGGAGGAAUACCGAUGGCGAAGGCAGCCAUCUGGCCUAAUACUGACGCUGAGGUACGAAAGCAUGGGGAGCAAACAGG
rnacentral:rRNA from 1 species